AUGCAGCAUCAUAAUUAGCACCUAUCAGUGCAGUGAGCGCCCACGAGGAGAGCCAGACUGCGCUUCAGAUGACCGCAGGGAGCGGUUCUGAGCCAGUACCAUUCAUUCAUUCAUUCCUGAACCUAAUAAAGAGUAAUAUCUUAAAUGCAAUGCACUCCUUGAUAGUUAAAAUAGCACUAAAACUCUCUGAAGAUCAAACAUCACCAUCCUCUUCUACUCAUAAUCAUCAUCUGCGUUCACACAGGUGGGGAAAAAUGUGGCGGAUGCGUUGCGGGUCACGUCCCGCCUCUGCGUCACAUUUUCCUCCAGCGCAGACGCCUGCGCGAGGGCGCGCACGUAAGCCUCUAAUUCGAACGAAUUUGAAAUAAAUGACGGUUAUUGAUCAACUGUCAACACUGAGAUUACAGACGACGGUGAAUGCUAAAAGACGGUUAGUAAGCAUAAAACAGCGGAAAACGCAGCAAAAUCCACGAUUGAAGACGGUGAAGGUGUGUGAACUCACCUGCUCUCCACGACGGCCCCCCCGCUGCUGCUGCUCCCGCUGCCCAUGCUGACCGCUGCUCACCUGACGGACACUCGCUCGCUCGCUCACUGACCGCUGCUCACCUGCUGCGUGUCCUUGUGCCUCUCGCCCAAACCAAUCGGCCAAUCCACGCAAACCUCGACCUGUAAGCCGACCAGUGCUGUCUGCAUGGCCGGGCAGUGGUCAAAUCCCAUCGUAAAUCCCACUGAUGCUCUCUGGAUUGGCUGACAGCUGCAACAGUGUUCUGGAGAGUUUCUCAAACUGUGCUCAGGAAGACAGGAAAUGAGACAGUGCUGUGUCUCUCUCAGAGACGUGAGUCACGCAGCCGAGGACGAGCCGGAUAAUGGCUUAUCUCUCGCUCUCUCUCUCUCUCUCGCUCGCUCUGGAGGUCAUUGUGUACAGCGAGGCUCUUAACGAGGUAAGCAGGGUAAACUCUGAUUAGUAUAGCAACGGCUGAGACUAGAGCUGACGUGAAGACCACAAUCACAUGCAUUUAUACAAACGUCUUUGUGUUCCGCUCACAUUCAUUAAUACACAAUCAUAAAAACACACAGAGAUAAAAAUUGUCUCGGGCUGAUAAUAAUAGCACACUGCCAUUGGCCAAUGCACCAUCACGACACAGAUCUUGCUUUAUUCUCUUUCCUUUUCUCCCUCAGUUUCAGUUUUCAAGUUCAAAGUCAUCAUUUUGGAUGAUUUACUUACAAAAAAGGUGCCAGCAAUGUAAUAAAAUCAAAUGAAAUAUUAAAAAGACAUUAAGAAUAUACUAUUGCUCUUGAAUAUGGUGGGUUUGAUCUUUUUUCUGACAGUCCGGGCA